GGGGCUCAGACCAGGAAGCUGCCCUAUGCUCUGUGCCUGCCUUUCCUGUCUGUGAAGUUCUGGUCGCUUCUGUUCCCAGCUCCAAGAAGCCCUCGCCCUACAUCUGACCUACUAUAGAACAUCAAGUGGAGCCCCACCACCACCACCAAACGCCCCCUCUGUUCCAGUCUUACACACUUAAAUGGCUUAAGAAAUCUUUUAGAAGAUCCUGUGUUUACCUCUGAAGCUCAUAGGUAGGAGGAGAAUAGAUUCCUGUAAGCCCUGUCUGCAAUGUGAACAAGGCCAUGUGAUGCUGGCAGCCAAGAGCAGAGCUUCAUACUGCUUGUGACUUGCAAGAGAAGCAGCUGGACCUAAAGAGCAAGAUGUCAGGUACAGUGACUUCAUAGGGUGAUCAUGAAUUCCUGUGUCCCAGGUGGCAUUGCUGACCUGAAGACUUCAUACAGAGGCAGAUGUGCUCUUCCGGAUGGGGGAGCUGAUACCUGGGCUACAUUGAGUCAUGAAUCUCACCCUCACACAAUCCCUCCCACUUUCCUUUUGCUUUCCUCCUAAAAGCAGAGGAUGUAGUGAUUUCAGUAUCCACUGGAACCACUCACUACACCACCGUAGGGCCACUGCAUUGCUCUGCUGCCCUGCACUGCUAUUCUGUAAAGGGUGAGCUCACUUUGAGAUUGCCAGAGAGCAUGGCAACCACAGCACUAAGGGUCACAGAUGCAUGACAUGGCUCUGUGAGCCUUGCACAGGUCAUUUUCUUUAACGUCGCCUCCCAAUGUCUAAAGUUGGAAUCUCUGAAUGAUUCUCUGUAGGUUUAGUGUUGCUCAGGCAUAGGCCUGUAAAUAAAACAUGGAUGAAACCCAUGUCAGGCACCUUGUCCCGGGACUCACUCCAGAGUGGUAUCUGUACAGAUUUGAGCUGUGGGAUUCUGAAUUGCAUAGAGGUGAAUCUUGGAAAUAUCAGGCUCAGAGCCUUGUUCUCAGUCAAACAAGUGUGAAAAGGGUCAAUAACCACAAAGGACAGAACGGGAGUUUUAAUGUCACCUGUGGGUCCACCUAUUUCCUGCCCCUUGAAAUCUUUCUUUAAAAAAUCUUUCUUAGCCCAUGUGUCAAGUGGGAUAAGAUCAGGACAUGACACUCCCAAUGUCAGGACUCUCUCAUAGAUGAGGUACCUGAGGAGGACUGUGGAUACCUGGGCACAAGACUCCUAAACCUGGUAUCACAGAAACACAAGUUUCACAUUCCUAGUCCUGGUUGCAACAGCAUCACCACCAAGGUUCUUCUGUGGAGUGGGGCCUUCUUCCUCUUCUAGGAUUCAAGGUAACCUCUGACCUGAGGCUGUCAGGCUCUCUGUAUCUUGCAAUGUCUGAUGAGACUUUGGUCCUUGAACUUUCCUCCUGUGCAUGGAUGCUUUCCAUGUACUUCCUAAGGAUUUGGUCCCUCCUUAUAGAGCCCAAGCUAUUGGCUGCAAUCCAGUGCUAAGCUGGGGACAUCAGCAAGGCCAAAAUGUUUGUGACAAGAGGCUUAAUAUGGAGAACAAAAUGAAGGAACUUGUGUAAGUUGAGAGAAGAAUGGUUUCUUGCAGUAGAUGUGGUCCCAGCUGUCUCCCACCAGUCUUUGUACCUCCCAGACAUCCUAGCGCCCCACCAAUGCAUAAGAAACCCUCCUUACUAUACUUGUCCCUCUAACCUGAAAGUCUGAGCUUUUCCAUGGUGCUCUCCUCUCAGCAGAAUCAGAAGCUCACUGAAGUGCUAGCCAAGGAGACAUACUAGAACUGAAGGAGGCUGAGAGGGGAGACUUUUGAGCUUUCUGCACUAGGACAGUCAGGGUUUUUUGGAAAGAGUUAACUUGUGCCAUUCUGCCUGUCCAGUGGCAUCGUAGCUGUCCUGGGGAAGGUGACUGCCUGAACUGGUGAACAGCAUGGCGUCUCCAGGCCUUUGUUCUCCUAUGUACCAUGUGGCAGUCCUAAACCCAGUUCACAUCUGUGGGAGAGGCGGAUCAUCUGUCCCCUAAGAUAUAAAAGAACACAGCACUCUGCUAUGAGAUCACGGGCCACUGCUACUUGAGAGGAAUCCCAACCUCAUUGCUUCAAGUCCCUAGAGGAUAUGGUGUUCAAAAAGGGCAUCUCGCAGUCAUGGUCUCCGUCGUUGAGUCUGAACAGCUAAAACUCUCUGAGGAUGCGCAAGAGAGGAACUUUCACCUCUGCUUUCCCUCCUAAUGCCGUUCUUCCUCUGCACCUCAGACAACUGAGAGAUGGAUAACGUCCUCUGAGUAGUUUGGAGGGGAGAUCUGGACCAGGUCAGGAAAGAAUGAGGUGUGAGUUAGCUGCUGUGUGCAAUGGGUGGAAUUGAUGCCUUUGCUCACCUCUAAAUGCUGAGGACAUGGUGGGGGAGCUGGGAAGACUUACAAGGUGGAGGGACAUCCUCAGAUAACAUUCCCUAGGUCUACUUUAUAGGGAGAGCUCACACAAGGAGGAAGAGGCCCGCAUGGCUCAGAGCAAAGCCUGCUGUGACAGGCCAGGCUGUGUCGUGAAGUGGGCUCACUGUAGAGCUGUUAGGACACUGCCCAUGUUACACAGGAGAAAAGCCUGCUGUGGCAGAUGUAAAUGUGCAGUAAAGCGUGCUUACUCUAUCACUGUUAGGAAACAGGACAUGGCCAACAUCUCUCCAUGUCACACAAAGGGAGAUGAUAUCCAGACUGUGUGCCAAGGUGAUGUCUGUGAGAAUGACUGAAAUGGGUCUGUCUGAGGGGAAGAGUGUUUUACAAAGAAAGCCAAGAGGAAGGAGAGUUCCUGGGUCUGGGGCCUGUCAACCAGGGCUUCAAAUGUGGCCCUUUCCUCUGAGUUUUGAUGGGUUUCUGUCAGGGCAGUCAACCUCAGGAGAGACCUGCCUCAGCCUGGUGUCCCCUUUCUCACAAGGUCACAGUGUAUCAUUUAUCUCAGUGAUGGACAGCAUGAGUACAUUUACCAGAACAUAAUAAAUAGCCCGUCCUUCCAUAUAUGGACAAUUUAGAUGCAUUGGGUUGUGAUUCCAGCAAGAGUAUCUAAGUCAGACCAGGAGGCAUUGGAUGAAGAGGUAUGGGGACAUCCCUGACAACAGCUGCAGCAAGAGUGGUAGGACUAGUCAUACACAGCCAUGUUUCCAACCUCACUAGCUUUAGGAUGUGGUGCCAUCAAAGCCUCUGCUCUAGGUGCAGACCUGAGGCUGCUUGGGAGAGUUUCCUUUCACAUGAUGUAGAAGUUUCCCCGUGCUGCCCCCUGAGAACAGAACCCCAGGACAUCAGCCAUGCGUGGUGUCAGCUGCAGGACUGAGCUCCCCUUGUGCCCUCUCCUCUCAGAGCUGCUAGGAGUCCCAUGACUUAGCAUCAAAAGCUCGCCUAUCUAAGGUGAUCGUCUUACCAGCAUGUUAAAGAUAAGGUCCACGGUGACUUUCAGUUUUGUCUCUAAGGGGAGGCUAAGGAAGACAAUAUUAAUGGAGGUCGGUGUCUUGACUUUCAGAUUCGUGGUGAACCUCUGAGUGCUUCAUGUCAGGAGUCAUGCUAACUGCAACGCCUCGACUCAUCUUCUGGGAGGUAGGACCGUGCAGAUUUGUCCCUGCUCCCUAGAAGAUAGAAUUGCACAGUGUUAAGGUGGUAGACGGCAGACUCAUUUUCUUUUCUGGACUCUCUGUCUACCUUGUAUUCAUCAUGGCAGAGGUACAUUGCUCCUUGAACAGGUUGUUGGACAUACAGCAGAUGAAGGUCCCAUAGAGUAGGGAAGUGUUUCCCAGCACAUCAGUGGUCUAGCUCAUGGCCUGGGAACAACAUCCCAAGGAAACGCAGUGACAUCGGUCACAAGGCUACCCUCUGACACAUAAGAGGAGACCCUCCUCCAGGCUCUUCAGAUGUGGAAGACCGAGUGUCAGAAAGAUGGUCAGAAAGUUCUUGUUUCUCAGUCACUGAAGCCUUCGAGGUUCACACACAAGGUUUGCAGCUUUCUUGGGCUCAGAGAGACAGAUGUGCUGUGUGCCUGCCCCAACACUUCCCACAGGAAAGCAAGUCACACAGGCUGACUGAACUGCAUGGUGGUGACCUUUCACUUUGUGUUCCCUCAACCUCUGUGUGUGGUCCUUCUGCAAUGUAGACUCACCACACACUCACUGUAGACAGAAGCCUUUCAUGUCCACAGCUUGAGCACUCCUGGGAUUUGUCGUGGGUCAGAUCCUGGAGUCCAUUCAUGCCCCCACAAUUGAAGCCCAUCUCCUAUAUCCCCAGAGCCUCCUGCUGUCAGCCAUAUAGUAUGUCCUACGUCUCCCAGGGGGUAAUCACAGGACAAUGGGAAGUUCACAGGCUGCUGGAGCUUCAGCAUAGACCUGAGGGAGCCUGGUUAGUGUGAGAGGCCAUCAAGGUGCUUCUUACGUAUGCACGGGGGUGGGAUGUUGGAUGGGUGUCCCUUAGCCUGUCCUGUGGCCACACAGGAACUGCCCAAGGCAGCACAGGCAUUGAAUGGAUUGCAGAGCAGAGCUGUGGUGGGAUGCUUCCCAUCUCUGCUCCUUACUUGCUCUUGAGCAGGCCUCUGUUGGGUUCACCUGUGAUGACGAGAAGAAGGGAGAGUUGAGAAGGCCAGGGGUCAGUGUCCUGAUGGAAUCACUGUGAGGCAUUGCUGCCUUGAGCCUGGUGGCCGUGAAAAUCCUCUGCCAGCUAGUCUGCCCUGAGUAGGAGUAGGUCGGAAAGACCAGCAAGGAAUGGUAUGCCAAGGGUCUGCAUGCCACUGUGGAGAUUCUAGUGACACUGAAACCAUCUCCACUGGAUAGGGUACCCACGAUACUCAGUAAGUGGGCAUCCAGCUCAGUUUCCCCAUGUAGGCAUCCAAGCAACCAUGUGAGGCUUCACAGGGCUCAGCACACUCUGCCUGUCCAGUGCAAAUGUAGGGGACACUCAGGUGGCCCCUUUGUGUUUGACCAUGGUCACUCUGCCAGGCUCUAGGUCCCCAGGCAGAGUCUCUAUCAGAAUAUAUUCCCCAUUGACAACAGCUGCACACGUCCCCUUUCACCUUGGCAGUACCCACAGCUCUUGCUGAUUACUGCUAGUGUAGCUGCAUCAGAUUGCACCUAGGCAUGGUCCAGCCGGAUUUCCUCUUGAGGUGGUGAGCCCAGGAUCAGGGUUUAAUCCAGCUGGAGUAGAAAUGCAUCUGACCAUCCCAGGAGACCCUAGAAAUGUACACCUUUCUGAUUUUUCCAACAAGAAGACACUAAUAAAGACAGAGAACACACAACACAAAGCAGAGAUUGCGCCUCCGAUGCCUGCUAACCCUUCAUUGGGUUUGGCCUCCUGCCUCUUUCAGGGGUGCCACUUUCUUGGAGAAUCUUUGCUGGGUUCUUUUCUUCCAAGCCCUGGGCAAACAACUGAGUCUUGACAGGCACUCCCUGAUGCUGUUCCUCAGUCUCUCAAAGCACCCCAUCUGCUGAGGGGGAGAUGAUGUUUCAAUGUCAUAGUCUUGGUCAGGAAGCACAGGCAAUUCAUCCUCCAAUAGGCUUCUGCAGAUACAUGGGUCACUCCCAUGUCCAGAAUGGAGGUAACAGCUAAAAGUGCUGCUCUUCUUGUUGGUACAAUCUACAGAAAUGGGAGGCAUAGAGACACUUCUGGCCACCUUGUAUCUUGACAGUGCCAAGGCAACAGGCCCAUGCUCUCCUGAGGGCCAGAUGUGGAGUGGGCAAAAGUUGGGCUCAAUGCCCCUUCUUACUAGGGGAAGACCAGAGACAGAGGAAUAUGACUCGUGUGGGGAUGGGGUAGGGCACAGGUCCAGGAGAUUGGAUGAUGUGAUUGAUGAAUACUCAACCCUCUUGUCUUCAAAAUUAAAUAUGCCCCCAUUGGUUCAUCAAACUUUUGGUUUUUCAAUGACUCCCUAAUCUCACUGGCAUUAAACCCCAUGCUACAGAGUGUUGUGGUUUGCCUUGGAGUUCUCUCUGAAUUUGUAAAAUAAAGGCAAGAGCUUUGGGCAGAGGGAGGAGUCGGGAGCGAGAGGGGAGGAGUCAGGAGAGGGGAGGAGUCAGGAGAGGGGAGGAGUCAGGAAGGGUAGGAGUCAGGGGACGAGAAAGGAAAGAAGUGAGGAGAGAGUUGUCGUGGGAGAAGGAAAAGCUGGAGACCUGGCAAAUAAAAGGUGCAAGGGAUGAGGGAUUUGGGAGCUAGGAAUAGGACAGUGUAGGGUGGAUCUGCCCAAUCUAGACGCUAGAUUGUUUUCAUAUUAAUUGAGUUGCAUUUUCUUUCUACUGGCCGAUUCGGGUUGGAGAGGAAACUGCAACAAACUGCAACAAAAUGGCGCCUAACGUAUCCAUUAGAACUCAACUAACCUGAGAUAAAAGUUUACUUCCCUCUCACCCCCAGAAUAGGGCUCUGAUAGAGAUCUAGGCAGGAGUACUGGUGGAUUGGGAGAUGACUGUGUCUGAGCGGUCUACGGAGAACUGCAGAGAGACUCCCUGCCCCAAACCCCAGACAGAGAGCUACAGCCGAGGGCAUCAUCUAGAAUCAAGGAAAGGGAUAGGAGAACCUAGAGCACAGUGAGGGAGUUUUCUGGCCAGAACAUUGAACAGGAUUCCUGAGAUCACCACACGACCAAGCAAAGCCAGAGACAACCCAAAGAGGCCCCUCCCUGGGAACAAAGAAUCGAGAGGACUGCACGUGUUCUGAGGCAGAGGGAGAAAAAGGUACAAAGGGCUUCGGAUCAGGUACUACUUUGAUGUAAGAGAGAUAUAUAACCUUUUGAUACUUAAAGAUGAGAAACACAAUGAAUAUCUUUUGGGCUGAAAGGAAAAUUAUACAGAUUUAAGGUUUAAAAAUAUGAAGUUAAAAGAGUAUGUUUCAACUCAGGACUAAACACUGUGAAAAGCAAGUCCAGACAGCCCCGCCCUGCCGCUAGAACUAACAGACCAUAAAAGGAAAGGAAUGCAGAACAGACCAGGAGUACCGGACCUGACUCACAGGCCACCUGGCAGGAAGAGAUAAGCCCCCAGCCCCCGACAUCCAGGACGCCCCAAACCUGCCAAUGUGUGUAGCUAUACCUUAUUACCUCAUCAUGUGAAAUAGCCAAUCAUAUGUGAACAUGUCUAUGUGCCUCGUUUGAAUCCACCAAUCCCCGUAACUAUGCAUCUGCUUCUGUACGCCCGCUUCUGCUUCCCCAAUCCCUAUAAAAGCCCCAUGCUGGAGCUGCUGGGUGCGCAAGUCCUCCGAAGAGACUGUGUGCCCGCAGGUACCUUUGUUUUCCAAUAAACCCUCUUGCUGAUUGCAUCCGAGUGGACUCGGCUCGGUCAUUGGGCGCUUGGGACUCCUCCUGAGGGAAAGGUCCUCUCCGGGGGUCUUUCAUUAUGGGGGCUCGCCCCGGGAUUUGGAGACCCUCCGCCCAGAGAUCACCGACCACCCACUGGGAGGUAAGCCGGCCGGCGUUUGUCUUGUCUGUUAUGUCUUGUCCUGUGAACGAUCGAUCAAUAGGCUUAGAUCUGGGGACUAUCUGGGCGGGCCAGAAAAGGAGCUGACGAGCUCGGACUUCUCCCCCGCAGCCCUGGAAGACGUUCCAAGGGUGGUUGGAGGAGAGGGAGAUCCGGAUCCGUGGCACCUCCGUCUGUUUUCGGAGGGAUCCGUACCCUUGAUGACUCCAUCUGAAUUUUAUUGGAGUAGAGGAUCCAAGACCCUCGCUGACUCCGUCUGAAUUUUUGGUUUCAGUUUGCUACCGAAGCCGCGCGGCGCGUCUGCUUGUUACUUGUUUGACUGUUGGAAUUGUUUGUCUUCUUUGUGACCUGACUGUGGUUUUCUGGACGUGUUGUGUCUGUUAGUGUCUUUUUGACUUUUGUUUCGUGUUUGAAUUUGGACUGACGACUGUGUUUAAAAUCUUGGACCAAUGACUGUGUUUGAAAUCAUGAAACUGUUUGCUUUGUUCGUCGAAGAGUUUUUCUUGGUCCCCUUAACGCUUAGUGAGUAAGAAACUUAAUUUUGUAGACCCCGCUCUAGUGGCGGUGUGUUGGUUGAUAGCCAAAGUUAAUUUUUAAAACAUAGUGUUUUGGAGGUUGGGGAUUUAGCUCAGUGGUAGAGCUCUUGCCUAGCAAGCGCAAGGCCCUGGGUUUGGUCCCCAGCUCUGAAAAAAGGAAAGAAAAACAAAACAAACAUAGUGUUUUAUCUGUGCUUGUGCUCGCAGCCAGCUGUGAUGAACUGGGAAAGAUUUAAAUUUUCCUUGGGAGUAAGGAAUCUUAAAGGCAGAGUUUCAGCCGGUAUGGCACUUAGUGUGUAGCUGCCUAAAAGAUCAGAAAUGCUGUCAACAGGCUAUAAAAAAGGGACAGGCGGUGUUAGAAAUGCUAAGGGAAGAACUAUCUAAAAAGGCUGAGAGCGAGGUGGGAGAGGACUAUAAGGAAAACAAGAAAGGAAUUUCUGACAUUUGCUCACCGAAGGAGAGCGCUCAUUAAGAGAAGUUCUUUAAGGAAGCCUGCCUUAUCUGCUGUCCUUAUACCAAGGGAGGAGUCAGUCUCCAACAUUAAAUUACUUUUCUCGCUGAUCAUCAUUAACAUGGAGAGUGCCUUUGGUCCUAUCCCCACAGCAGCCAGUUCCUGCCCCUAUGGUUAAAAUGCCCCAGGUUGGGGGACAAAAAGAGCCCCUAAAAUAGUUUCAAAGUAUCUACAACUGUGAAGAACUUUGUUUUGCCAGUCAGGAUUAAUGUUUUCUUUUCCAUGGGCCUAUAGCCCACUGAGACAGUUUGGUAAAGGGCUGUUACUAAAGUCCUGAAAGCCCCAGGUGAACUGGUUACAAUUCUUUUGUCAGCUGCUUAGUAUCUAGCACCCAGGUUCUAACCAUCUCUCCAUCCUUUUGUUAUUAGUUGUUACUAGAAGCCUAGUGUCAUUUGGAGGCUGGUUCUCUUGAGAGGCAAAGCCACCAAGCUGACACUGAAGGGAGGUAGGUACUCCUUAAGGGAAAAUCUAAGCCCAGAGAGACAGCCAGUAACAGCUAGGCUGCCUCUCUGUUCGCCUUUCUGUUUCAUAGACAAAGCUUGUGCUUAUAAAUAUAAGUGGCCUUUUUGUCCAAAAAAACGCCUCCUGGUUUAGCUGUGUGACUAAAUGCUAUUUGUCCUCUUCAGUGGACCUCUCUCCUCUAGAUUCCCUUCUUGUUUUCUCACCAUCCCACGUGAGAUGCUUGUUAGUAACUGUUACAGAUCUUCUUUACCACUGAGGAAAGACAGAAUCCUGCUAGAGGCCAGAAAGAAUGUUCCAGACAUGGAUGGAAGGCUCCUGACUGUUGACUUCAAUGUGCCUGAAGGUAGGGAGUGCUCCAGGUCUGCCCCCAGGCUCCAAGGGUGGGUCUCCUAGGGGCUGGAAAAUGCCCCACCAAUCUGGCUAAGAUAAGGAAAGGGUAUGAAGAGAAAGUUACAGAAAUUUGAAGAGUUAAGCUAAGUUGCUGAGAGUUAGUAUAAGUUACAGAGAAAGUAAGGUUAAAGAAAGAGAAAGAGAAAAGAAGGUAAAAAGAGCAGAAAGCUAGGGAAGAAAAGAGACAAAAAGAAGAGGAAGCUAGAGAGCUAAAGAGAGAUAAAAGACAAGAGAGGAACAUAUACUGGCCACAGUAGUUAGGGAACCUAGGAAGACAGUACCUGGCAACAGAAGAGAAUUCCUGGCUAAAGAUCAGUGUGCCUAAUGCAAAGAAAAAAAAAGACACUGGGUCAGGGACUGCCCCAGAAAGAACAAGAGGGGACACUGGAGAGCCUCUCGGUCCUGGAGUGCUGGCUAUGUGCAGAGAUAGAGGGAAGCCUGCCCAGUUGUUUUAUGGAUACAGGGACCCAAUGCUCUGUGCUCCUAUGCUCCAGUGGGCCAAAGACCUUGGGUACAGGGGCCUACUGGCAACAAACAAUACUUAUGGACUGCCCGAAGAACAGUGGACCUUGGCGUGGGCCGGGUAACCCAUUAGUUCAUAGUCAUCCCUGACUGCCCCCAUCCCUUGCUCAUGAGAAAAUUGCUCCCCAAAAUGGCUUGCGUGGGCUGAAAUGGUUGGGUGAGGCCAUGUGUAUGCAUAUCUACAGACUGUGUAUGCGGAGCUUAAGACCUGUCUCAGUGCACCAGUACCUGAUGCUGGGAGAUGAAUGGCUUAGCGCUGUUCUACUUGGAACAUAUCAGUCCUGCCAGCCGGGCACUAACAAUUAUCACCCAAUCCAGGACUUAAACUGUGAUAGACUGGCUGAUGUUUGCCUUUGAAUAGAGUGUCCCAAAAGAUGGGACCACUGGUCAGCUGCCAUGGACUAGAUUCUCCACCUGUUGGGGGCAAUCUGGUCACCUUGCUGCCCAAUCCGACCUGGAGCCACCACAGCACGAGUGUCAAGCACUGGCAGAAGCCCAUGGGUGGAGGAAAGACCUCUGCGACUGGCUGAUUGACCCCUGCUGAAAGCCGAGGCUACCUUGUCCACAGAUGGGAACAGUUCUCUUCAUGAAGGUCAGAGAUAAGUGGGUGCUGCCAUGGUGGACAACACAAUGUCAUCUAGGAUGGCUGAACCUCAACCCCCCAGUACAUCAGUGCCGCAGAUGCCUUUGCCAUCUCUUGGAUGCCCUGGUGAAGCCAACAACUGUGAGUACUAUUCAUUGCUCAGGAUAUCAGGAGGGAAGAGAUUCAGUGGCAUUGGGCAGUAACAAAGCAGAUAAAGUGGCUCGGGAAAUGGCUAUGCAGGAGCCUAUCCUGGUUGCAGGCCUGCAAGAGACAGCCACUGAGAACUAGGAUCGGACUAAGGGAUGGCCUCACUUAGAAAAGGCCCAAAUUGCUUAAAAGAUAAAGAACAAUGGCACACUUGAGGGGAAAGCUAUACUCCCCCAGAGAACAAAGAAAAGACUCACUUUGCCAAAUACAGAAAUGGACUCAUUUAGGAGAUAAAAAGUUUGUCCAAGUAGUUAAGUGUAUGUAAUAGACUUUAAGAUUUUAGCCAGAGAGGCAGUAGAAAGUAUAAGGUAUGUCAAUAAGUGAAUGCUUAGCAAGCAAACAGGGCAAAGAGACCUAGAGAGUUUGGUGAAAAGUCCAAGUGAACUUCACUGAGAUAAAACCAGAAAAAUAUAAUCACAAGUAUCUCCUAGUGCUUGUAGAUACGUUUUCAGGAAUAGAUAGAAGCUUUCCUCACCAAACGAGAGACGGCCUCUGCAAUCAUCAAGAAGAUACUGGAAGAAAUCUUCCCCCAAUUUGGAAUGCCCAAGGUAAUCUGGUCAGACAACAGCCCUACUUUCGUUGCCAAGGUAAGCCAGGGUGUGGCUAAGUAUUUAGAGGUCGAUUGGAAAUUACAUUGUAUUUACAGACCUCAAAGUUCAGGACAGGUAGAGUAAAUAAAUAGAACUCUAAAAGAGACCCUGACCAAAUUAACCAUGGAGACUGGCGCAGACUGGGUGACACUCCUUCCUUCUUGCUCUCUUCAGAGCAAGAAAUACCCCUUCCAGAUUCAGCCUUACCCCCUUUGAGAUCUUAAAUGGGGCCUCAGCCCCCCUGACUGUAUUAGAUGAUGUUACUGAACCAACAUGUCAUAGUGCCAUAGUAAUAAUGAUUUGUGUGCCAGGCUAAAAGACCUACAGGUGAUACAGAAAGAAAUCUGCUCAGAGCUGGCAGCAGCCUAUGCCCUGGGGACCCCUGAGACAUCUCACCAGUUCCAGGUCGGAGACUCGGCUACAUACGAUGGCACCGAACCCAGAUACUCACUGGAAAGGACCGUACCUGGUUCUGCUGACCACCCUGACAGCCAUCAACUCUCAACCCUCACCAGCCGUGUACUAGCUGUUGGGGCUGAGAGCUGGGACCUAGAGGGAAACUCAGAUCUUCAAAAAGCUCCCUAGACUUAAUUUCAUGUUUGCCCCGGGUUUUAUCAAGAUAGGUGUGGGGAUAGGCUUGAUUUCUAUUACAAAUGAUGUAACAUUGCAUAUGUUAGUACUCCUAACACUUCUUGGGACUGUGCCUCAGGGAUCACAAUCUGUAUAAGUUUAGAAGUUCUAAAAGCUAGUCAUGACCUUGGUGUGUAGGUUUAGAUAGUGUCCAGAUUGGAAUCCUGAUGCUAAAGACUUAGUAAGACACAAAAAAAAAAGGAGUUGAGAAUUACUUAGGGCUAAGGCUAUCUAGGUGCUGCAAGGGCAGCACAAGGACAUCUGCUGUUGCAAUGCAAGGCUUAUAGAGAAUUCAGAACUGCCAUUCAGGAGUAAUUAAAGACUCCAUGAAUAAACUUAGAGAAAGGUUAGACAAAAGGCAGACAGAGAAGCGCAUCAGGGAUGGUUUGAGAGCUGGUUUAGUAGAUCUCCUUGGAUGACUACUCUGGUAUUUUCCCUUAUGGGAUCCUUCUUAGUUUUGUUUCUGCUUCUGAUUAUAGGUCCAUGUGUGUUAGAGAAACUAGUUAAUAGGUUUGACUCCUACAAAAAGAUAGAGACGCUCAACAAGGUUGGUUUGAGUCUUGGUUCACUCGGUCUCCCUGGAUGACUACCCUACUCUCUGCUAUAUGGCUGGGCCAUUACUAAUAAUUUUCUUGAUUUUAGUUUUUGGACCCUGCGUGACAAACAGGUUAAUUGCUUUUGUUACAAAUCGAGUGAGUGCUGUGCGGUUGAUGGUUCUGACACAACAGUACCAGUCAGUUAGGACAACUGGUGAGACCAAAUACGAGACUUGAUAUCAAAAUUCUAAGAUUAGAAUUACUUAGUAGAAGAAGAGGGGAAUGAAAGGAAAAUUAUACAGAUUUAAGGUUUAAAAAUAUGAAGUUAAAAGAGUAUGUUUCAACUCAGGACUAAACACUGUGAAAAGCAAGUCCAGACAGCCCCGCCCUGCCGCUAGAACUAACAGACCAUAAAAGGAAAGGAAUGCAGAACAGACCAGGAGUACCGGACCUGACUCACAGGCCACCUGGCAGGAAGAGAUAAGCCCCCAGCCCCCGACAUCCAGGACGCCCCAAACCUGCCAAUGUGUGUAGCUAUACCUUAUUACCUCAUCAUGUGAAAUAGCCAAUCAUAUGUGAACAUGUCUUUGUGCCUCGUUUGAAUCCACCAAUCCCCGUAACUAUGCAUCUGCUUCUGUACGCCCGCUUCUGCUUCCCCAAUCCCUAUAAAAGCCCCAUGCUGGAGCUGCUGGGUGCACAAGUCCUCCGAAGAGACUGUGUGCCCGCAGGUACCUGUGAUUUCCAAUAAACCCUCUUGCUGAUUGCA